rnacentral:rRNA from 1 species
UCCAGUACUGCCUUUGAUACUGGAAGUCUUGAGUGCGGGAGAGGUGGGUGGAAGUGCGAGUGUAGAGGUGAAAUUCGUAGAUAUUCGCAAGAACACCAGUGGCGAAGGCGGCUCACUGGCCCGAUACUGACGCUGAGGCACGAAAGCGUGGGGAGCAAACAG